AUAAUGUGAGAGUUAUUAAAAAGUAUUCAAAAUUAGUAAUUUCAAAAAAGAAAAAUAUAACUUUCAUACAAACAUAUAUUUUCAUUUGGGAAAUACUAUGACCAAUGGUGAUUAGUUUUGAGACGAGCCAAUACGAGCGCAGAAUCUGGCGCCGCAUAAGAACUGAUUUCCGGGUUUUCACACGAGGUAUAUGCGUGAAGUUAAGAGGCAACUCUCUCUCGUGUGCACGGAUGCCUGAUGAGUGCUAUGUCUCGAUGCUCCGGGAAACAGAAAUAUAGAAAUUAGCCUUAUAGAUUGUCGAUGGAUUGAUGGUAAAGGGAGCGAUUGUAAUGUGGAGUGCUGUGCCUGCACCAUUCUGGAAUAGUCUGAGUUAAACGAUCUCCUUGGUCAGGUUUUUUUCUUCUGUUAUAUCUUUUCCAAAUUCGCUGUGUAUACUGGAUCUGUCCUGGCCUUCCAGUGGUUCUUAGGAGGGUUGGACUGGCGAGCCUCCCUUGAGUUUGUUCUUGGAUCUUUCUGUUGAAGAAGUAUUCGCACUGAUUCAACUGUGAAUGGUAGGAAAAGGACUAACGUUCCUCAUCUUUUAUUUUUUUUUCCGGAUGGAGACUUUUUUCAUUACCAACAGAUAAAGGACAAUUAUUUAAUUUAUUUUUUAUUUUUUUAUUUUUUCUAAAACUUUUCAAAGCACUCUUUCACAAGGACUGCAAUUCUGAUUGGAUUUCAUUGUAAAAAAAAAAAAAAAAGAGAAGAACCAUUUGUUGUGAAAUUGGGUUGUAUGUUGUUUAUUUAGGAUUUACCCUGUUGAAACCCAAAAGAGAAAAAAAACUGAGAUCUAAAGUGUUGAAAUCUUACAUUCUGGUUGGAAAGGAAAUACAUAUCUACAUUUUAUUUCAUUUCAUUUUAUUUGUUAUCAACCAAUGUAAUUCACCUGUUGUCAUUCACCUGAAAAUACAGUGUGUUUUCAAACGAGUAUUCACUGUUGUUGUGGCAUCUUUCUCAGCAGCGAAUCUGUUUCUUCUGAAACGCUGGUCCAUAGAUCUCAUUAGGUUAAUAGCCAGAG